rnacentral:rRNA from 1 species
CACUCCUACGGGAGGCAGCAGUGGGGAAUAUUGGACAAUGGGCGCAAGCCUGAUCCAGCCAUGCCGCGUGAGUGAUGAAGGCCCUAGGGUUGUAAAGCUCUUUCACCGGUGAAGAUAAUGACGGUAACCGGAGAAGAAGCCCCGGCUAACUUCGUGCCAGCAGCCGCGGUAAUACGAAGGGGGCUAGCGUUGUUCGGAUUUACUGGGCGUAAAGCGCACGUAGGCGGACUAUUAAGUCAGGGGUGAAAUCCCGGGGCUCAACCCCGGAACUGCCUUUGAUACUGGUAGUCUUGAGUUCGGGAGAGGUGAGUGGAAUUCCGAGUGUAGAGGUGAAAUUCGUAGAUAUUCGGAGGAACACCAGUGGCGAAGGCGGCUCACUGGCUCGAUACUGACGCUGAGGUGCGAAAGCGUGGGGAGCAAACAGGAUUAGAUACCCCAGUAGUCCCAU